UCCAGAUGAAAAGGCUGCCAAAGCAGUCACUUGCAAAGCAUGUCACUACCACGUUCCCAGGUCUUGCUCAAGAUAGCUGCUUCAGAGGAAACCCAGGAGUGUUAAUGCUUAAGUCUGCAUGCUGGAGCAAUGACAUUGGCAAGAUCAAGGCCAAGACUGCGCCGUUAUUUUCCUGGGUAAAAGUUCAGAGAAUCAUCAAGAACUCUGCUAUGAGUUGUGCCCAUGGCUCUGCAGAGCAGGAAUUAAAGCAACAACCUGCCUGGGAUCAGUAUGAGCAGAGGGAGAAUCCAGUUCCAGGUGUUCAGCCAUGGCAAAGGCAGAAGCAGACACUGUCAGCAUGUUUCAGCCCCCUUGACAGCCACUACUGAUGAUUGUAAGUCAUGCUGCUGAAAUGGAUGCAAUUACUCACAUAUUGGCAGCAAUGCAAAUGCCAUCUUCCAAAAGGUGAAUAGCCAACCUGUUUUUUGUUUGCAUGGUAAUGAAGCCUGUUCAAUUAUUGAGAGGCCAAACAAUUUAAUAAUUUUCUAAGACAAAUCUUUGUUCCUACACUUUUUCGUCUUUAUAUUGUUGUGAAACACGUUUCUUCAAUGUAAUUUGUUUUACCCUGAAAUUGAGAGUUUAUCAGGUGGCUGAUUUUCUGUGGUUUUCUGAAAGCAUGGCUAACCAUACUUGUGCAAUUUAUCUCAUGAAGGGAGGUAUUAAAGUUAUUUCUUAACUUAGGGGCUGACAAAUAACUCCAUGUAUGAUGCUUUGUUCACAGUGUGGGAUCCCUUGAGCUUUGCACAAAAACAAAGUGAGCAGGAUUUAAUACAUGAAUUUUACUCUGAGGGGAACUUCUCUUUCCUAUCAAGUAAGGCAGGAAUACUCCUCCAUGCCCCAGAUAACUGCUGGUGACCGCACCAUCAGGAGCUUCCUGCCACCUGCUCUAGGAAUCUCCCUCUUGGUUACUAUUGUCUAUGGGCACGGUCUUGCUCAAACGGAUGUCUUUACCUCCUGAGAAAUACUCCUGAGGCCAGGGAGCCUAAGUUAAAAGCCUUGAGGCCAGGGAGCCUAAGUUAAAAGCCUUUACUGAAGGCACGGCUACAGCUACAGUCACCAUAGCGCAGCAGACCUGCUCUACUUGCAUCAUUUCAUCUCUGCCUUCCCAUGCAGGGCACCAGCAAAUCCCACUGGCUCUCUGGGAGUUGCUCCUAACCUGCAGCUGGCCUGACACGUACUUAUUUUUCCGUUUUUGCUCUGUAUUUUCCUUUCCAAAUGCUUUCCAUCUGAG
rnacentral:lncRNA from 1 species